GACGCUACAAACUCCUUUCUUACAGGAAACCUGAAACUGCCAUUGAGCAGAAGGAAAACAUCCCUUUCCAGAACCUUUCUCGUUUUUCUAAAAAUCUGCACUUUUGGAAGUGAUCCCCCAAAGAGACCUCCAGACUCUACCAUGAGUGUCUCCAGCUGAACUCAUCGUGUCUAAUCCUCACCCUAGCUUAUCCUGUUCAAAUCAUUUCCAUCUUUUUCUGGAUGAACCUGGGCGGAUGUCAGACCAGAGAAGAGCACAGAAUGUACCAGAGAGAGUCUUGCUCUGUCACCCAGGCUGAAGUGCACCCAGGCUGAAGUUGGAGGCUAUGGUGAGCUGCACCACUACACCACUAUGGGAGGCCGAGGCGAGUGGAUUGCCUGAGCUCAGGAGUUCGAGACCAGCCUGGGCAACGUUGUGAAACCCCGUCUCUACUAAAACACAAAAAAUUAGCCAGGCCUGGCGGCAUGUGCCUAUAGUCCCAGCUACUCAGGAGGCUGAGGCAGGAGAAUUGCUUGAACCCGGGAGCUGGAGGUUGCAGUGAGCCGAGAUUGCGCCACUGCACUCCAGCCUCGGUGACAGAGUGAGACUCCGUCUCAAAAAAAAACAAUAUAAGGUGAAGGCCAAGCAGGGUGGCACAUACCUGUUGUCUCACCUACUCAAAAGGCUGAGGCCAGAGGAGGAUUGCUGGAAGUGAGUUCAAAGCCAGCCUAGAGAAUAUAUUGAGACUCUGUCUCUAAAUUUUAUAUAUAUAUGGUGAAUUCACCUUUACCAUAUCUUUUAUGUAUAAGCAAUGGGAUUGAUUAGCAAGUAAUGGGACUCUGAAAUCAAAGGGGUAAAUUUGGGUAGAUCUUUAUAAAUAUAAUAACCUUGAACCCCACAAAUCUCUCUAAGCGUCCUUUAAAAAAUAGACUUUCUGUCUGAGUAGGUGAGUCCUUUUUUUUGUUUGAAGAUACUAGAAAGCUCUUACUUGAGACAGCUCCUAAAAGAAUGUCAAUUCAACAGAAGUCUCAUAGCCAGUAUAACUAAUUCUAACCCCCUAACUAGAGUCAGAUACUAGGAUACCCCUAAGGGACAACAAUGAAAUCUGAAUUUGGGUGUCAUUGCUUACAUAUCAAAACAGUUGCAAGAGACAGUUAAUUUAUAUUUGCAGAAACCAUAUGAAUUUGUAUGAAAAUGAUUUUUUAAAGUGCUAUAUCAAGAAAACUAGAACAUAAUGCAGAACAAAUAAAAUUUACUUAUAUGGGUGCCAAGAAUAGAAAUUCUGGGUUCCGCAUACAUCAGCAUCUAGAAGAAUCUGCAGUAGGUAUGGAUGGUUGAUUGAGGCCUUUAUUCAAUGGUAGUCUACAAAGAAUAAGACAGAAGUAAGAACUUUCCUGUUAAAAUGGAAAGAUAGAGUAAACAAGUUUAGGAAUAUCUCAUAAGCCACUGAUUCCAUUCUUAGGUCUAUAUCCAAGGGAAAUUCUUGCACAUGCACACAAGGAAACAUGGAAGAGAAUGUCCAUAUAUGUACUGUUCACAGUAACAAAAAUUUGCUGAGGAGGAAGGAACUAAAACUCCAACAAUAGGAGAGCGGAUAGAAAGGAACAUAUUAUAUUCACAGAACGGAAUAUUUUACAAAAAUCAGAAUAAACUACAACAUUACUCAAAAUCAUGGCUGCAUUAUAGCAACAUAAUAUUCAGAGAAAAAGUUUAAAAGACUACAUAGAACUGUCAAUUGAGGAAAAUGACAAGAUAAGUCUCAAUCAUUUUAGGAGGUUUAUUUGCCAAAGUUAAGGACAUGCCUGGGAGACAGGUCUAUGCCUUUCUCUGAUGAUGAUUUUGAGGGCUCCAAAUUUAAAGGGGAAAGGGCAGGAUAUUGAGAAGCGCACAGUUUUCACAUAAACCAAAGGGGCAGAGGAAAAAUAUGGGGAAUCUGCAUUUUACAUAAGAUAACAGACAAAAUGGGGUAGAGGGAACAAUCAGAUAUGCAUUUGUGUCUGGCGAGCAGGGUGACUGCACAUGUAAAGAUAAGCUAUCAAUUUGCAUUGCCAUGGUGAAGUUUUAACAGCUCACCAGGAAUUUCCCUGUGGGCAAAAUAUGGGAGAGGCAUGUAGCUUUUCAUCUUGUAGCCAUCUUAUUUAGGAAUCAAAAGCGGGAGGCAGGUUUGUGUGACCCAGUUCCCAGCUUAACUUUUCCCUUUGGCUAAAUGAGUUUGGGGUCCCAAAGUUUAAUUUCCCUUCACAGAACACAGUUUUAUUUUAUAAAAUUAACAAAAACACACAAUAUGUAGAUACAUAUUGAUAAAAAUAAAACUAUGUAAAAAGGUAAACAACAGAAUAUUCAAUUUAGUAAUAAAAUAACCAACUGUGGAUGGUUAUCUUGAAUUGAAGGGUUGGAAAUAAGGGAUACAGGAAAAUCACACACAAUAAACUAAAUUGGAAGAUGGGCCUAAUGCUAACACCAAAAAUGGACCUCUUGACGGCAGAAUUGCAUUUAUCUAUCCAGCCUCAGGAAGAGUUACACAACCUCAAGUUUCCUCAAGUGAGGCUGUGUGUCUAUGAAAUGUGGGGCAUGGAGAAGCAAGCAUAGCACAGUUUUCCAGGAGGCGCUGGCUUAAUAAAAGAGGGUGGAAUGUGAGGGGCCAAACUUUUCAUGUGUAGAUCCCCUCUCAAACUCUACAACCAGAUAAUUCAUUAGUUUAGUGGUGAGAACUAAAAGAUGAGACAUGAAACUAAAGUUAUUCAGGUAUAAUUGUACCUUAUAGAAACUGGACAAGGGGGAUGCCACUUUUCCCACUUAUACAAUCAUUCAGUGUAUUGAACUACCCUGUGAAAAGAUAAGUACAAUUGCAUUAAUAGAUUAAGUAAACUACAACAAGGUAUGGGGUCACACACCUGUAGUCCCAGCUACUCAGGAGGCUGAGACAGGAGGAUUGGUUGAGCUCAGGAGUUAAAGGCUGUAAUGAGUUAUAAUCAUGCCACUGCACUCCAGUAUGCGUGAC
rnacentral:lncRNA from 1 species